rnacentral:rRNA from 1 species
GACGAACGCUGGCGGCGUGCUUAACACAUGCAAGUCGAGCGGUAAGGCCCUUCGGGGUACACGAGCGGCGAACGGGUGAGUAACACGUGGGUGACCUGCCUCUAGCUCUGGGAUAAGCCUGGGAAACUGGGUCUAAUACCGGAUAUGACUCCACGGCGCAUGUUGUGGGGUGGAAAGCCUUGUGUGGCUAGAGAUGGGCCCGCGGCCUAUCAGCUUGUUGGUGGGGUGAUGGCCACCAAGGCGACGACGGUAGCCGGCCUGAGAGGGCGACCGGCCACACUGGGACUGAGACACGGCCCAGACUCCUACGGGAGGGCAGCAGUGGGGAAUCUUGCGCAAUGGGCGAAAGCCUGACGCAGCGACGCCGCGUGAGGG